AGUCGAACGGGGGUAGAAAUACCCUAGUGGCGGACGGGUGAGUAACACGUGAGAAUCUGCCAACUGGACGGGGAUAACAGAGGGAAACCGCUGCUAAGACCCGAUAAACCGAGAGGGGAAAAAUUAAUUGCCAGUUGAUGAGCUCGCGACGGAUUAGCUAGUUGGUAGUGUAAGGGACUACCAAGGCGACGAUCCGUAGCCGGUCUGAGAGGACGAUCGGCCACACUGGGACUGAGACACGGCCCAGACUCCUACGGGAGGCAGCAGUGGGGAAUUUUCCGCAAUGGGCGAAAGCCUGACGGAGCAAGACCGCGUGAGGGAGGAAGGCUCUUGGGUUGUAAACCUCUUUUCUCAAGGAAGAAGCAAUGACGGUACUUGAGGAAUCAGCAUCGGCUAACUCCGUGCCAGCAGCCGCGGUAAUACGGAGGAUGCAAGCGUUAUCCGGAAUGAUUGGGCGUAAAGCGUCCGCAGGUGGCAGUUCAAGUCGGUCGUCAAAGACUCCAGCUUAACUGGAGAAAGGCGGUGGAAACUGAACCGCUAGAGUGCGGUAGGGGCAGAGGGAAUUCCCGGUGUAGCGGUGAAAUGCGUAGAGAUCGGGAAGAACACCAGUGGCGAAAGCGCUCUGCUGGACCGCAACUGACACUCAGGGACGAAAGCUAGGGGAGCGAAUGGGGUUAGAUACCCCAGUAGUCCUAGCCGUAAACGAUGGAUACUAGGUGUUGUGCGUAUCGACCCGCGCAGUGCCGCAGCUAACGCGCUAAGUAUCCCGCCUGGGGAGUACGCACGCAAGUGUGAAACUCAAAGGAACUGACGGGGGCCCGCACAAGCGGUGGAGUAUGUGGUUUAAUUCGAUGCAACGCGAAGAACCUUACCAGGACUUGACAUGUCCGGGAUCUUUGGGAAACCAGAGAGUGCCUUCGGGAACCGGAACACAGGUGGUGCAUGGCUGUCGUCAGCUCGUGUCGUGAGAUGUUGGGUUAAGUCCCGCAACGAGCGCAACCCUCGUUUCUAGUUGCCAGCAUUGAGUUGGGCACUCUGGAGAGACUGCCGGUGACAAACCGGAGGAAGGUGGGGAUGACGUCAAGUCAGCAUGCCCCUUACGUCCUGGGCUACACACGUACUACAAUGCUUCAGACAAAGGGCAGCUAGCCAGCGAUGGUCAGCAAAUCCCACAAACUGAGGCUCAGUUCAGAUCGCAGGCUGCAACUCGCCUGCGUGAAGGCGGAAUCGCUAGUAAUCGCCGGUCAGCAUACGGCGGUGNUACGUUCCCGGGCCUUGUACACACCGCCCGUCACACCAUGGGAGCUGGCGGUGCCCGAAGUCGUUAUCCU
rnacentral:rRNA from 1 species